rnacentral:rRNA from 1 species
CUCGUAGGCGGUUCAACAAGUCGAUCGUGAAAGCCCGGGGCUCAACCCCGGGACGCCGGUCGAAACUGUUGUGACUAGGGUCCGGUAGAGGUGAGUGGAAUUCUCGGUGUAGCGGUGGAAUGCGCAGAUAUCGAGAGGAACACCAGUUGCGAAGGCGGCUCACUGGGCCGGUACCGACGCUAAGGAGCGAAAGCGUGGGGAGCAAACA